GCAAACAGUAAUUGUAGCUAUCUUUUUGGUUUCUCAGGGACUCUCUUUUGUCAAUUGUUGCUACAUUAACUGGUGGGAUAGUCUGUUCUUAUCUUCAUGACCCCGUGGGAGGGUGGCCCUUUAGAAAUUCUUGAUAUUUAGUUAGGCUAUCUUGCGGCCUUGUAAGGGAGUUAUGCGGCCGGCUAGGAAAUUCCAGGGACUCGAGUAAUUGUGGCCUUGAUCAAAUUUCUAAGUCAGGCCACCCUACUUUUAGUGUGGGAGGUUUUUCUAAGCCUCCUUAUUUUAUUUCUUUGUUAAUUUUUUUAAGUCCUUCAGGUGAGACAGAGGGAGGUGACCAUGGCAGUUUUGUGCCAUUUAAGUCUCCUUCUAAAGACAUUUUACUGCUUGCUUACGGUUUUGUGUUUGCUGUUGUGUUACCAUCUGCCACCACCGGCCACCCACCCGCUACCCCCCCUCCCUUCCUUCAUUCCUUGUGAGGGGCUAUUUUCACCCAGCAUGGCUCCUACUUGCUUUAUUUUUGUUGAUAAUCUUCUGAUCCUUCUAUUUCCAGCUCCUGAGCGCUGGGAUUGCAAACAUGGGCCAGCACACUCAAGUUUAUGUAAUACGACAGAGAGGAGGGGGCACAGGGUUUUUGUAGCAAUCCAGGACUCGGCUUCCCCUUCCACUCAGAGAGCUCUAAGGAUUCUUGUAAGUUCCAGGGAGUUGAAUUGGAUCCAAACAUACAGGUCUAAGAGACGCCAGGGAGUCCCAUACAGCCUGGACCACAAUGAAACAACCAUCUACCCCAGGACGUGGCAGCACCCCAAUCUUCUCAGAUCCCCCCAAAGACGAUCAACGCCCCAGGUCAGCAGGAAGCAGCCUUGAGAUUUCUUCGUCCCUACUUCCUAACCUGCCACAUCCAAUUCUCCAACUUUUAUAAUAAACAACAGCCGGGAUUGUAAGAACAAUACACCUGGAUGACCCCGCCCCCCUAACAACAAGCAGGGCACACACAGGAAAACUUGCUACGUCAUCACCACAUCACCCGCCAUGCAUUGCGGCCUUCGUGAGGACUCUGCAUAUGUGCGAAACCUCAGUGUGCAUGCGUAGUCUUUCCCUUAAAAGCAACAACUUCCCUGCUGCUCUCUCUUUUACUCUCUCUCUCUGUUUCUUCUUGGCUCUCUCUCACCUAGGCGCUUUUUCUGCCUCUCUGUGGCAACUGGCCAUGGCGGUCAGCCAUUACCCCUGUUCCUCUUCUCUCUUAGUCUCUCUACUCUGCCGAGCUUAUAAUGAAGGACUUUAGAAUUAACAAAGAAAUAACUAAGAAGAAAAACAAUCCUCUCACCCUAAGAACAGGGAGACCUGACUUAAAACCUAACCAAGGUCACAAUGACCCAAGCCCCUGGAAUUUCUUAGCUGGCAGAUAUAACUCCCUUACAAGGCCACAAGACAACCUAACUGAAUACCAAGAAUUCCUAGAGGGCCACCCUGCCCUAGGGUCAUGAAGAUAGAAACAGACUAUCCCACUGAGCCAGGAGACCAUCCGGCCCCAAAGAUAAGAGAUCUCCAAAGGAUCUGUGACUCUGGUCACGUACCCAAACCCCUAAAAGCCUAUGGUUUUUUCUCCUAUAAAAGGAGCCUGCUUUAGAGGAACAGGGCUUCUUCUUUGUCUGUCGGACUGGGAAGCCCGUUUGCGCAAACGUCCCAUAAUAAACUUACCUCUUGUUUUUGCAUCAGCUGGACUGGACAUUGAGUGUUUUGGGGGGGAUCGUCCGAUUUGUAGAGACUCCUCGGUCCGAGGGUCUUUCAUUAAUAAACUAGUUAAUAUGUCUCAUCUGCCUCUCUCUUUUUCUUCAAAAACAUAACACUCCCAUCCCACCUCCCAUCU
ensembl:lncRNA